AAAAGUGAGAUAACAGUAUCUUUAAUAUUUAAGUAACAAAACAUGCAGGUCAAUACUCAAUGCAUAUACAAUAAGACAGAGCAACAAAAAAAAUUACAAACCAUGCUGUAACUACAUGGAGGCUUUCAAAUAAUUUAGUGUUGAUGGAGAGCACGCUAAUUAAAGAGUCACACCUCAGGGCCUUGGAACUGACCAGGACUUUGCCCUGGUGGGAGGGGGAAUUGACUGUGCACACGCCUUCAAACCUGAAGACUGAACAAUCUCCACUUCUUACAUUGCUCAGCUUUCUCUCUCCCAACCCCUACUUUUUUGGUGUGCAUGCAUUUGCUG
rnacentral:lncRNA from 1 species